AUGAGCCUAGGUCGGAUUAGCUAGUUGGUGAGGUAAUGGCUCACCAAGGCGACGAUCCGUAACUGGUCUGAGAGGAUGAUCAGUCACACUGGAACUGAGACACGGUCCAGACUCCUACGGGAGGCAGCAGUGGGGAAUAUUGGACAAUGGGCGAAAGCCUGAUCCAGCCAUGCCGCGUGUGUGAAGAAGGUCUUCGGAUUGUAAAGCACUUUAAGUUGGGAGGAAGGGCAGUAAGUUAAUACCUUGCUGUUUUGACGUUACCAACAGAAUAAGCACCGGCUAACUUCGUG
rnacentral:rRNA from 1 species